rfam:Triticum aestivum genome assembly, contig: Triticum_aestivum_CS42_TGACv1_scaffold_330310_4BS
CAAAUACUCCCUCCGUCCCAAAAUACUUGUCGGAGAAAUGGAUAAAAUUGGAUGUAUCUAUAACUAAAAUACAUCCAGAUUCAUGCAUUUCUCCGACAAGUAUUUUCGGACGGAGGGAGUAUAAG